rnacentral:rRNA from 1 species
CCACAUUUCCCUGAAACCUUGCAAGUUCGGACGAUGAACCACUUCGGUGGGGAUUAGUGGCGAACGGGUGAGUAACACGUGGGCAAUCUGCCCUGCACUCUGGGACAAGCCCUGGAAACGGGGUCUAAUACCGGAUAUGAGCCUCCAUCGCAUGGUGGGGGCUGUAAAGCUCCGGCGGUGCAGGAUGAGCCCGCGGCCUAUCAGCUUGUUGGUGAGGUAACGGCUCACCAAGGCGACGACGGGUAGCCGGCCUGAGAGGGCGACCGGCCACACUGGGACUGAGACACGGCCCAGACUCCUACGGGAGGCAGCAGUGGGGAAUAUUGCACAAUGGGCGAAAGCCUGAUGCAGCGACGCCGCGUGAGGGAUGACGGCCUUCGGGUUGUAAACCUCUUUCAGCAGGGAAGAAGCGAAAGUGACGGUACCUGCAGAAGAAGCGCCGGCUAACUACGUGCCAGCAGCCGCGGUAAUACGUAGGGCGCAAGCGUUGUCCGGAAUUAUUGGGCGUAAAGAGCUCGUAGGCGGCUUGUCACGUCGGUUGUGAAAGCCCGGGGCUUAACCCCGGGUCUGCAGUCGAUACGGGCAGGCUAGAGUUCGGUAGGGGAGAUCGGAAUUCCUGGUGUAGCGGUGAAAUGCGCAGAUAUCAGGAGGAACACCGGUGGCGAAGGCGGAUCUCUGGGCCGAUACUGA